rnacentral:lncRNA from 1 species
CCAAAAUCGCCAUAUUCUCUUCUCAGGAUCUCACCUUGGUUCGAAGAGCCCUCCCUCGUUUAGGUGUCCUGCUCUGAUAUCAAUUGUAAAAUCGAGAUACAACGAAAACACAAGGCACAAAGUAAUUCCAAGAACUCGUAUAUAUUUUAUUAGAAAUCCUUUACACAAUCUCUUACAGACUUGUUUGAUCUGAAUUACACAACUCAACACGAAUCGAUUUCUAACACACCUUAGCAACAACUUUUAUAUCUUGUAUCUUUGGAAUCGCAAUCUUUGAUUGAGUUUCAUCCUUUCGUGCACCUGAAACAGCUGGAACUGAGGGUUUUACAAACUUGAUUUCUUCAUUCUUGUCAACCGUGUGAGAACUAGUUCCAUGAUGACCUCACUUUCUACAGAACAAGCCUCCAUUCCUACACGCUGUGUUUUGAUUCUCUUUAGUCAUUGUCACUGAUCCUGAUUUUUCUUCAACUUUUGGUUUGUCAUCUGAUUUUACUUCAGCUUUUAUGAACCUUAUUCCUCCAGCCUCGUCAUAGUCUGUUGCAGUCCACUUUGUCUUCGAUUUAAGUGUCUUCAAGCCAUCUUCUUGCAUCACCAACGGUUCUUCCCAUCCAGAUUGAACAACUGUCCAUAUAUCUUCAUCAGCUCCACGUAAGUUUGCUCUCAUUCUCACUUUCCAAUAUCCAUAAUUCACAUCAUUAUGCAGCAAAAUAUCGUGUGCCAAAAUCGCCAUAUUCUCUUCUCAGGAUCUCACCUUGGUUCGAAGAGCCCUCCCUCGUUUAGGUGUCCUGCUCUGAUAUCAAUUGUAAAAUCGAGAUACAACGAAAACACAAGGCACAAAGUAAUUCCAAGAACUCGUAUAUAUUUUAUUAGAAAUCCUUUACACAAUCUCUUACAGACUUGUUUGAUCUGAAUUACACAAC